UACGGAGGAUCCAAGCGUUAUCCGGAUUUACUGGGUUUAAAGGGUGCGUAGGUGGAAUGUCAAGUCAGUGGUGAAAACCUAUAGCUUAACUAUAGAACUGCCAUUGAUACUGUCAUUCUUGAGUGUAUUUGAUGUAAGUGGAAUGUGUCGUGUAGCGGUGAAAUGCUUAGAUAUGACACAGAACACCCAUUGCGAAGGCAGCUUACAAAACUACAACUGACACUGAGGCACGAAAGCUAGGGGAGCGAACGGG
rnacentral:rRNA from 1 species